rnacentral:rRNA from 1 species
CAAUAGCGUAUAUUAAAGCUGUUGCGGUUAAAAAGCUCGUAGUUGGAUUUCUGUCAAGGACAACUGGUCCGCCCCUCGGGUGAGCACAUAGUUUGGUCUUGGCAUCUUGUUGGAAACUGUUGCUGCACUUGGUUGUGUGGCGCAGUGUCCAGCACUUUCACUUUGAGGAAAUUGGAGUGUUUCAAGCAGGCACAUGCCUUUGGACACAGUAGCAUGGAAUAAUUAGAUUGGGCUUUUGCUCCAACUUGUCGGUUUCUGGAGCUGAGGUGAGAAUUAAUGGGGACUGUUGGGGGCAUCCGAAUUUAGCCGUCAGAGGUGAAAUUCUUGGAUCUGCUAAAGACGGACAACUGCGAAAGCGUUUGCCCAGGAUGUUUUCAUUGA